AAUUGUCGGAGGAGAUUGUGCUGAAAGCUGUUUUACUUCUCAAACAUAUCCGUGGGAUUUUUUUCCACCGAUAUUGUUCAGACUUGUCUGCAGGCUUUAGUGUCAAGAAUUCUUACGGCAAUACGCGUUCACAGAAUUCAAAAUUAUUUGAAAACGUUGCAUCCACCGCUGCAGGCAGACCGCAUAGAAUUUACGAGAAUUUAGUAAAAGAUCCUCUCGCUCUGCAGAUAUAAAGCUCAGCAGAGAGUGUUGUCUUUGAGAAAUUUGGAAAAGCCUAACGGAAUUAAGAAAGAAAGAUAUGCCUCUCAGACAAGUUGUCUGGCCCCGGUUUGUCCCAGCGCACCACAAACCAGCCGUAUAUGCCGGUUCGGCUGGUGAAAACGAAGCUCCCGUCCUGAUUGGAACCUGCAGACGAUAUUCAUGAAUAAUGCCACUAUGAUCUACUUUCUGCUGUCCAACGGAGGAAAAGCUAAUGGAAAUGAGACCGCCCAUGUCUUGGCCGAGAGAUGCUUUAAGCUGUUUGAAGUCCUUAGAGCCCUUUGAACUGGUGGACGAUGAGGAAGAUUCGAUCAUUCCUCCUGAAAUGAAAAUGCUGCCAGGUCUUAAUGAUGACCAAAAAACUUUAGCCACAAAUGCUCCUAAGCAGCUGCAUGGAAACAUCUUGUAUGGUCUGGCACAAGGAAAUGGAUAUCGUCCACCAGCUGGACUCGCUCAACGGAAGGCCGACUGCGGGUGAUAUUCUUGGAAACAAACUUUCUUAACGGAGCCGGAACUGGAGCUGUUGGAGCUCCAGCUGAUGGGGAGCAGGAUGGGGCCGACAACGGAACUCCUAAGCUGCAAGUUGACCAGGCGUAUGCCACCAUGAUUGACAACGCCGACUUGCCUUUGGCCAAUAAUCAGGAGGAUGAGGCCGCCAGUGGAGCUCCUCAGCUGCAAGUUGCCGAGGCGAAUGGUACGAUUUGCAGUAAUAAUCCAUAGAUGCAUUUAUGCAUGUUUUUGUUAUCAGUAAAAAAAAUUGCUAUUCACCCACAAUGUUAUAAUUUAAUAUACACAUCAAUAAAAAUAAUUAUAAUCCAUUCCCAUGCUUGCAGCUGCCAUGACCAAAAACGGCACUGUAUGUGUGGGUUACCACUGAAUUAUCUAAUUUAUUUUAUCUUAACUUAUUUUUAUUACAAUGUAUACAACUUAACAAUAAAAAUAAUUUAAAGUAUUGGAAAAGCAGAGCAUAAUUAAUAUAGUCCUAGAAUAUUAUGAAAAACCCCUAAUUAAAUCUCCU